rnacentral:rRNA from 1 species
GCUUGGAACAUAUCCAUCUUGUCUGGCUCUGGAAGCUAAGCAGGACCAACCCUGGUUAGGACUUUGGUAGGAGACAACCAGGGAAUAUCAGGGACCUCUAGGCA